ACUAGACCAACAAACUCAAUACUACUGUACAAGACUAAUAAUUAAAGACAACAUAACAUAGACAAAAAAUAAAAAGUUUCCUCAAGCAGCUCGUGCAUGCAAUGGUCUUGACUAGAAUGGUCUUGGGUAUUUGUCAUGCUCAAACGCUAGCAAAUUAAUCAAUACCUGAAUGGGAAAAAUAAGAUUAAAUUGAGUUAGUGACUCAAGACACAUGUGACACCAUGACACCUUCUGCUGGACACAUGCAAGGCAUGAUUUAGGUUAUUUUUGCAAAAUGACCUACGUAGCCAAAGUGUGACUAUUAGCACAAACCCAACAUGACCUCAAAGACAUGGAAAAAUACUUCACUGAGGCUUAUAUGAAUUCAAACUUCCAAUAAUCGCCCAAAAUUAAUUUGCAGAAAUGACCGAUUAUGUGAAAAUGACUGAUAUGGCCAAAAGUGACUAAAGAUGCAAGCUCAAUAAAAACGGACCUUAAAGUAAUAUGAAACCUAGUUGUGGACCUAAGAUCCUAAGACGUAGGCAAUUGAACCACUUUUGCAAAAAUAACCUCAUUUUGCAAGAAUGGCCGAUGUGGCCAGAAAUGGCUAAACAUGCAAGAUUUGGCUAAGACCCCACAAAGCUAAGAACCUAGGACUCACUAGGAAGACCGGACCCCAUGUGAGUUGCCUACGUAUCAUAUCUCGAAAGACGAGAAUCGGGUUCACGUAGUUCGGGAAGAUUAAAUAUAGCAUAGAACUUUUUAAAAAUGCAUUUAAUUUGAAAAAGAUAUACUGCAUAUUUUUUGUCUUUUUGAAAAAUGAUGAAAAUGUAAAAUCUUUUUAGAUUUUCGUUUCUCCUUUUUUUGAAUUUUUGAAAAAUGAUGGAAAAUAUAAAUCUUUCUGAAUUUUUUUAAAAAUUUUUGGAAAAUAAUGGAAAAGUGUAAAAUACUUUUGGAUUUUCUUUUUUCAUUUUUGUUUUCGAUUUUUUGGAAAAUUUAUGGAAAAGUAUAAAUCUUCAUUUUUCACCCUUCUUUCUCAAGCAUCGGUCUGCUAAAUAACAUUUUUACCUUCAAAGAUGCAACAUAUAUCACAUAGGGUUGAUUGAAUGUCUUUUUGGGCCACGGGCCCAUUUUGACAAAAUUUGAAUAAGCUUUCUACAAAGGGAUACGGUGCCUGCGAUCUAGCCCUACUAAGUAUAAAUGACAUGAUGCAAAUAAAAAUGACAUAAAGACUGAACUAAGUUUGGAGUUCACUAACAAGGCAAUUUGGGGGAGCGCAUGGUCGAUGGUGGCUGCUUAAGCUUUCCACCCACUCCAUACGUCUAACGGCUCCCCUCCUAAAUUAAGGAUGACUCAACAAAGAGUUUGAGCAUGCGACACGUACUUCGGGACUUGUUGUAGAAAGAAGACCCACGAUUAUGCAAAUAAUGAUAGUUUAUAAAGCAGUAGGUCAGUAACACAUCAAGAAAAGAGAUAAACAAAUAACUAACAAAACAAGAAAAUAAGACAAACAAAGCAAAUAAGGAAAACAAACACCUCAAUCAAAUAUCCUAAAAGCCAACAAGAUUAAGUAUUAGCUCGAACCUGCAAAUCCCCAACAUAGUCAUCAGAGAUGUCACACCUUUUUUUUAAACAAACCCAAUUUUCCUCUUAAAAAUAUUAAAAAGAUUUAGUGAAGCAUGAAAAGAGUUUUUCAAUUUGAAAAGUGACAAAAUUAUGCUAAAAUGGAUUAACUCAGAGUCACCACCUGACAUUUAUUUUUGGUGUGCCAGGUCAACAUUUUUUCUUAAAAAUAAUUUCUCCUUUAGAACAGUUUUAGACUCUAAAACCAAGUCCGUACCAUAGAUUCAGGUAAGAGGGUUUAUUUGACUCUGGGAGAAGGUACUAGGCAUUCCCCAAGUCCCGUCAAGGUCACAGUUACGUACUCGAUCUAGCUGGCUUUUAAAAUAUUCGAAUUGAGGCUAUAAAAACACACUAAAGAGAAUAAACAAUCAAAAAGACUCGAGAUCGUCCCCACCUAAUAUUAUAAAAAAAUAAAUAUAAAGCAAGAAUAAAAGUACUACGAGUUUUGCUCUCGGCCUCCAAAUACAAAUAUCUCGGGGCAUACUCCGAAAAAAGUAUAUACAACUCCUUCGGGGUAUUUUCCGAAUAAAUUUAACUAAAGGAACGACCUUUCGCCUUGAAACUGACAAAAUCCUAAAGUUUGCUUUCUUAAAUGUUAUCGGUCUAAACAUACUCCUAACGGUUAAAUACGAAGAAUAAAUUCAACAGAUAUUCAACUUAAUGCUACAGCCCGUAUGCAUCAAGAUAUCAAUUCCUAUUCUCUUUAAUUUCUGUGAACCCAUAGGCCAAUGUCAAAUCUAGUUACAGCUAUCACAAGAACAAAAUUAUCAAAAAAACAAAUAGUAACAUGUGGAGUAGUAAUUAUAUACUUCAGUUAAAAGAAACAAAUAGUAACUAAAGAAAAUGAGAGAAACAUAUAAGGUAAACUAGAAAAAAAUCUACACUUCAAUUAAGCCAUACCUAAUAUGUGGAGUAAAAAUUAAGAGCGUACGGGUAAGAAAAGACCUCAAAGAAUCUGACAUUUAAACGAAUGGAAGCCUUGAAACGCAAAAAUGCGACGAAUCGCGGAUGGGAAUUCGAAUCGGCACCGAAAAGCUCUAAUCUAUAUUCACCUAGCAAAUCCCUCUUGACGUACAUAUGCUAAGUGAAUCUGCCAUAAACAAAUAGAAAUUGAAGAUGAGCAAAGGGUCCUAAUGAGGGUCGUCGCCGGACUUAAGCUUUCCGGGAAUACUCGCCGGAAAAUAGAUCGUCGACCAGUUCUGAAAUAAACACGGUAGGGGAAACAACAGCAAACCGGUCUAGUAGUAAAGCUUGACGCUCGAUGCCGGAGACCUUUAUAUAAACGGAGCAGACCAUAAGUUUUCUGGCGAGGGUGGUUUCCGAAAAAUGGUAUCUUCCAUAUCUGGGCGAAAGGUGAAGGCUGUUGGCAAAUCUAUGUGUAUGAGCGAGAGAUGGAGACGGGUGAAAGAGGAGGAGCAGUGGCUGGUUCCGGCGACAGGGCUGGCUGGUUCUGGCGAGCUUGCCUUUUUUCCUCAAGGUUCUGCUAUGGUGUUUCUAUGAAGAAGAUGAUUGGGUACCUAUUUUGUUUUCGUUUUCUUUUCUUUCUAACGGUAGGUCUUGGUCAAGAAGAAGGCCUGAUGGGUUGUAUCGGGUUGGGUUGUUGAAUUUUGGGUUCAUAUUUGAAUUGGGAUUCGAAAUUUAUAAAAUUAGACAAUAAACAAGUUGUAAUAUUUAAUUUAAAUGCUU
rnacentral:lncRNA from 1 species